rnacentral:rRNA from 1 species
CUGGGAAACUAGAGCUUCGCGAGCAGAGAGGAGUAUGUCCUAUUAGGUUGUUGGUGGGGUAAUUGCCUACCAAGCCGAUGAUGGGUAGCUGGACUGAGAGGUCGACCAGCCGCAAUGGGAUUGAAAUACGGCCCAUAUUCCUACCGGAAGCAGCAGUGAGGAAUUUUUCACAAUGGACGAAAGUCUGAUGGAGCAAUACCAU